AAAAAAUCAUGCCAUUUUGUGGUGUCUUGAUAGGUUUGAAUGUGGCACCCUUGCUGAACUACUAAAUGCUGCUGGCUGUGUUGCUUGGUAGCUGCAGACUGCUUUGCAUCUUAAUCUGAGACACCCUUCUGUGCCUUUCCAUGUAUUGCACCAGAGCCAUGGGGUCAAACAGCAGGCUGUGAAUUCCACCCUGGGAGCCAGGACCCUACCAGAAGAGCACCCAGCAAUAAGAGGAGGAGACCAACCACGCUCAGAAGCCCGCGUCAAUCUUUAUACUUACAUAUGAUAAAGACAGCCACAUGAAAGGAUAAGGGCAUCAACUGGUUGAUGAUAGAGACUUAAGCCUCCUAAAUCACAUGGCAAAGAUAAAUUAGAACUAUCUGCCACCUACAUCAGAUG
rnacentral:lncRNA from 1 species